rnacentral:rRNA from 1 species
UACGUAGGGUGCAAGCGUUGUCCGGAAUUAUUGGGCGUAAAGAGCUCGUAGGCGGCUUGUCACGUCGACUGUGAAAACCCGGGGCUCAACUCCGGGCCUGCAGUCGAUACGGGCUGGCCUGAGUGCGGUAGGGGAGACUGGAAUUCCUGGUGUAGCGGUGAAAUGCGCAGAUAUCAGGAGGAACACCGAUGGCGAAGGCAGGUCUCUGGGCCGAUACUGACGCUGAGGAGCGAAAGCGUGGGGAGCGAACAGG